rnacentral:rRNA from 1 species
AGGGGUAUAGUUCUUCGGAGCUAGAGACCGGCGCACGGGUGCGUAACGCGUAUGCAAUCUACCUUUUACAGAGGGAUAGCCCAGAGAAAUUUGGAUUAAUACCUCAUAGUAUGUGAGAAUCGCAUGGUUUUCACAUUAAAGUUCCAACGGUAAAAGAUGAGCAUGCGUCCCAUUAGCUAGAUGGUAAGGUAACGGCUUACCACGGCUACGAUGGGUAGGGGUCCUGAGAGGGAGAUCCCCCACACUGGUACUGAGACACGGACCAGACUCCUACGGGAGGCAGCAGUGAGGAAUAUUGGACAAUGGGCGCAAGCCUGAUCCAGCCAUGCCGCGUGCAGGAUGACGGUCCUAUGGAUUGUAAACUGCUUUUGUACAGGAAGAAACACUCCCUCGUGAGGGAGCUUGACGGUACUGUAAGAAUAAGGAUCGGCUAACUCCGUGCCAGCAGCCGCGGUAAUACGGAGGAUCCAAGCGUUAUCCGGAAUCAUUGGGUUUAAAGGGUCCGUAGGCGGUUUAAUAAGUCAGUGGUGAAAGCCCAUCGCUCAACGGUGGAACGGCCACUGAUACUGUUAAACUUGAAUUAUUAGGAAGUAACUAGAAUAUGUAGUGUAGCGGUGAAAUGCUUAGAGAUUACAUGGAAUACCAAUUGCGAAGGCAGGUUACUACUAAUGGAUUGACGCUGAUGGACGAAAGCGUGGGUAGCGAACAGGAUUAGAUACCCUGGUAGUCCACGCCGUAAACGAUGGAUACUAGCUGUUGGGAGCAAUCUCAGUGGCUAAGCGAAAGUGAUAAGUAUCCCACCUG